AAUAGGAAUGGUCAUGGGCCUAAUCAGAACCAGAACAACAAUAACCGUCCCUAUAACAACAACAACUCCCAGGGUCAGACUUCGAAUGCUCAAGGGGGAACAAUACUCAGCAUAAUGGUCAGAAUAACAAUCGAGCAAAUGGAGGAAACAACAAUCAGAACGGCAAUGGAAAUGGUGCUCGAGGCAACAAUGGAAGAAUCUAUGUUAUGAACCAGAAUGAAGCAGACACCAACGCCAAUGUUGUGACGGACGGAAACUUCGUAGAAGGCGACUUUUAGGGGAUAUUGUUAUACUUGGGACGCGUUUGAGGUUGGUGAAAGGGACUACGUUGCAGGAAUGAGUGAAUCUAUAGUUUUUAAUUUCACCUAGUUUAAUAAACAUUACAGUACUGUCAUUUGAGAUUGUUUAGUUUUGAUUUGGUAUAAAUUAGACAACUUACUUUGGUUUAUUUUGAUACUUUGGUUUGUGAGUUAAAUUUUUAUUCUUAAUAAUUAGCCUUGCAUUUAUUUUUAACAAUAGAUGCGGCGGUAACACCCUAAAGGUUUGGUCAGAUAUUUUAAUGAAAAGUGAAUGUUUUAUAAAGUUUUAGAACCAAAGUUUUAGGGUG